GGGACAUCCCCUGCCUCUCCUACCAUGUGAGGACACAAUGAGAAGACAGCUGUCUGUGAACCAGGAAAUGAGCCCUCAACAGGGAGAACCUGACCAUGCUGGUGUCCUGAUCUUGAACUUCCAGCCUCCAGAACUGAAGACAUAUCAAGCAGAGAUGUAGAAAACUAUCUGCAAAUUGUUUGAUGCUCCUUCUAUGAGAAGGUGGAGUCUGUGUGCCCUUUCCUUGCACCUGGCAGGACCUCUGUGAUCGUGUCUUUCUUGCAUGUGGCAGGACCUCUGAGAACAGAAUGUUGCAGAAGUGACACUGUGUGAGAGACUUCAGAGUCAGGUUUAAAAAAACUUGAGGCAAUCCCUCUGGGAGCCUUCAGUCACCAGUUACCCUGAGGCCACCACAUGGAGAGUGCUUGGAGAGAAUAAAGAGAAGCUCUUGGACAUCUCUUGUGCAAACAACACUUGUGUGUGAAACAGCCCCAGCUGUUCCAGACUCCAGCUGUUUUUGUCUUCUCAGUCGAGACACCAGACAUGUGAAUGACAAAGUCUUUAAGAUGACCCUAGACCCAGCCACCAUCUGACUGCAACCACAUGAGAGACUCUGCACAAGAAUCAUCUAGCUGAUCCCAGUCAACUCUCAGAACCAGGAGAGAGAAUAAUAAUACAUGAUUGUUGCUGGAAGCUACUAUGUUUGUUGUGGUUUGUUACCUAGCAGGAGCUAACUGAUACACAGCUCUCACUUGAGAUUCUAAGGAGUGAAGUAAAUUCUCUAGAAAAGCAGACAUUUAUUGGAGAAGUAUCUUGUGACAGAUUCCGUGCUAGGAAGUAAAAGCAAUGACUUACACACAGUCCCUGGUUUCAAGGAUCUCCCAGGGGAGAUUCAAUAUGAACAUGGAUUAUCACAAAUAUUAGGAAAGAAUAGACCCAAGAGGCACAGAGAAUACAUGAUGGGAGUAUAUUCUGGGAGACUCCUGGAUGAACUCGCUGUGAUCGUG
rnacentral:lncRNA from 10 species